rnacentral:rRNA from 1 species
UACGUAGGGUGCGAGCGUUAAUCGGAAUUACUGGGCGUAAAGCGUGCGCAGGCGGUCUCGCAAGUCCGAUGUGAAAUCCCCGGGCUCAACCUGGGAACUGCAUUUGUGACUGCACAGCUGGAGUGCGGCAGAGGGGGAUGGAAUUCCGCGUGUAGCAGUGAAAUGCGUAGAUAUGCAGAGGAACACCGAUGGCGAAGGCAAUCCCCUGGGCCUGCACUGACGCUCAUGCACGAAAGCGUGGGGAGCAAACAGG